CCCUCGGUGACUUAGUGGUUAGAGCGACCGCUCCGGAUGCGGGAGGUCGUUGGUUCGAAUCCAGGCCGAGUCA